GUACACCUUUUUAAUCAACUGUCGUACAUGUUGGCUACAAGAUGAGUUAUAGAUUUUUUUCGAAAAGGAGGCCUCGCCCCGGCCUCUGCAUCGAGUGAUGCAUACAACCAUCUUAUUUAAAGAUGAGUUAUAGAUGACAUGACAAUGACUUAUAACUAGCAGUUUACUAUACUAUUAACCAUGCUCUAACCGACCCCUCGAUGCAUCCAAGCAGCAUCGAAUUGUCUCCCAACCGUCCCACGUUUGUCAUAUCAUACGCAUCUGAUAAGAUAAUUUUCUAUCCCACGGCGAUUAUACAUAGAAUGAUAAGUCGGACUGGACAAGGUAAAGGUACAAUUCCAUGUGCGAUGUAACGGGUAGCGUCCCUCCACCAUACUUCAUUAUUGGUGCACAUCCAUAGUACACCAGUCGCUCCACCAUACUUCAUUAUUGGUGCACAUCCAUAGUACACCAGUCGCAUUAUUGUCCUGCACAAGAAACCAAACAAUUAUUUCACUCUGACCAAAUAAACAAGUGACUUUGGAAAAUCAGCCCCAGCAAUUAUCAUUGACAAGCGCCUGAAAACUUGUUCCAAAGCUAUCCCUCCUCGUACGUGGCUACUUCCAAAGGGGCAUCCAAUGGCACGUCCCAUCCACGUCAUCCCUAUCGUGCCGUAUGUAUCUGAUAAGAUAAUUUACCAACUUACAAUGUUGAUUUGAUCUGACGGCUAAACGAC
rnacentral:lncRNA from 1 species